GUAGUCUGCAACUCGACUACAUGAAGCUGGAAUCGCUAGUAAUCGCGGAUCAGAAUGCCGCGGUGAAUACGUUCCCGGGUCUUGUACACACCGCCCGUCACACCAUGGGAGUCGAUAACGCCCGAAGUCAGUGACCCAACCUGUAAGGAGGGAGCUGCCGAAGGCGGGAUUGAUAACUGGGGUGAAGUCGUAACAAGGUAGC
rnacentral:rRNA from 1 species